AGAGUUUGAUCCUGGCUCAGAUUGAACGCUGGCGGCAGGCCUAACACAUGCAAGUCGAGCGGCAGCGGGAAAGUAGCUUGCUACUUUUGCCGGCGAGCGGCGGACGGGUGAGUAAUGCCUGGGAAAUUGCCCAGUCGAGGGGGAUAACAGUUGGAAACGACUGCUAAUACCGCAUACGCCCUACGGGGGAAAGCAGGGGACCUUCGGGCCUUGCGCGAUUGGAUAUGCCCAGGUGGGAUUAGCUUGUUGGUGAGGUAAUGGCUCACCAAGGCGACGAUCCCUAGCUGGUCUGAGAGGAUGUUCAGCCACACUGGAACUGAGACACGGUCCAGGCUCCUACGGGAGGCAGCAGUGGGGAAUAUUGCACAAUGGGGGAAACCCUGAUGCAGCCAUGCCGCGUGUGUGAAGAAGGCCUUCGGGUUGUAAAGCACUUUCAGCGAGGAGGAAAGGUCAGUAGCUAAUACCUGCUGACUGUGACGUUACUCGCAGAAGAAGCACCGGCUAACUCCGUGCCAGCAGCCGCGGUAAUACGGAGGGUGCAAGCGUUAAUCGGAAUUACUGGGCGUAAAGCGUGCGCAGGCGGUUCGGAAAGAAAGAUGUGAAAUCCCAGAGCUUAACUUUGGAACUGCAUUUUUAACUACCGGGCUAGA
rnacentral:rRNA from 1 species